rnacentral:lncRNA from 1 species
AAUGGGAGUGGAAGGGCCUAGAGCCCAAGCAGGACCACUGUGAGGAAACGAAAGUCAUAAUCCAGAGGGGCAGGAUGGAGUUCUGACCAUGGUUACAGCAGCAGGGUGGCCAGGACAACUGAACCCCGGACAUAUUCUGAAUGAGCUGAAGUCCACCUUCCCUACACAGACCUUGCAUGAACGAGGGCUAGGGCACACAUGGCCUGUGGAACACCAAGAAGAGGGACACGAGGAUGCGUUAUUUCCUCUGUUUGCAAAUCUAUCACAGAGAGUAGAAGUGUUCGCUCAUGAUCAAACAAUUAAAAAAUCUAGGAAGAAGGCUACGUUAGUAAUAUGAUUGGAAGCAACAACGAAUCAAGUGCUGACCUAAAUGGGGUAUCUGUUAAAACUUAGUAUAUUGAUAUCCUUCACCCCACUCCAGGAACGUUCGCUACGCUAGGACUGCAUCUUGGGAACAGAAUUUUAGAGAUGAUCAUCUCUUACAUCAGAAGCAGGAUCUAAAUGAUCCCUGGAUGCCCAAUUUCCUGACCCUGCUAUUGUUGUGGGUGGCAAGAUAAGAGGAGUUGCAUCACAGAUGAAAAAGUAAGGCCGAAGAAGACCAGAGAAGAGUUGGUUGAAUGUGUAGAUAUAAGAUCCAUCUGUGACAUUGUAGAAUGAAAUUUCACCGGCUUCAUAGUCCAAGAAAAUCCCAAUGCAGCGAGGACUUUCCAGUUGGAGAAGAGGCACUGAUGGGGAGGCAAGGACCAUGUACUCAUUCCCUUUCAGCAGCCACAGGGCCCA